AGAGUUUGAUUCUGGCUCAGGAUGAACGCUAGCUACAGGCUUAACACAUGCAAGUCGAGGGGCAGCAUUGGAGUAGCAAUACUUCAGAUGGCGACCGGCGCACGGGUGAGUAACACGUAUCCAACCUGCCGCUUACUCGGGGAUAGCCUUUCGAAAGAAAGAUUAAUACCCGAUGGUAUAAAGAGUUCGCAUGUUCUCUUUAUUAAAGAAUUUCGGUAAGCGAUGGGGAUGCGUUCCAUUAGAUUGUUGGCGGGGUAACGGCCCACCAAGUCUACGAUGGAUAGGGGUUCUGAGAGGAAGGUCCCCCACAUUGGAACUGAGACACGGUCCAAACUCCUACGGGAGGCAGCAGUGAGGAAUAUUGGUCAAUGGACGAGAGUCUGAACCAGCCAAAAGUAGCGUGAAGGAUGACUGCCCUAUGGGUUGUAAACUUCUUUUAUAAGGGAAUAAAGUGAGGGACGUGUCCCUUUUUGUAUGUACCUUAUGAAUAAGGAUCGGCUAACUCCGUGCCAGCCGCCGC
rnacentral:rRNA from 1 species